GACGAACCGCCCGAACGUUGUUCGGAAUCACUGGGCUUAAAGGGAGCGUAGGCGGGCUGCCAAGUCCGGGUGAAAUCCUCCAGCUUAACUGGAGAACUGCCUCGGAUACUGGAAGUCUCGAGGAGGGUAGGGGCAAGUGGAACCGUGGGUGGAGCGGUGAAAUGCGUUGAUAUCCAGUGGGAACUCCGGUGGCGAAGGCGACUUGCUGGACCCUUUCUGACGCUGAGGCUCGAAAGCCAGGGAGCAAACGGG
rnacentral:rRNA from 1 species